AUGGGGCACGCGGGGAGAGCCAGCGGGGAGAAGGCGAUCGCGAGGGAGCUCGUGCUCAAGGUGUCGAUGCACUGCCGCUGCGACGGGUGCACGCCCAAGGUGAGCUCCGCCCUGAACAACCUCGCGCUGGCACCGGGCGUGGUGGCGGUGCUGGAACGGUCGGCGACGGAGGACACCGAGGAGGUGCGCCUGCUGGCAACGGCCGACCCCGAGCGCCUCCGCAAGAGCCUCCACGAGGCCACCGGCAAGAAGAAGGUCGACCUCGUCUUAAUCCCGCCCAAGCCCAACAAGCAGGAGCGAUCCGGCCGCUGGAACGGCGGCAAGGAGGACCCUCGGCUCGUCGACUUCGACGCGGUCCAGGGGCUGCUCGCCGACCCGCAGCUCCACGACCAGGCGCCGCCGCCGGGCCAUACUUGGUACGGGAGCAGCUACGUCGAGGGGUACCCUCCUCCGGUGACGCCCUACUACCCGGGCCCGCCGCCCCCUGCCUGGGCACCAAUACCAUACGGCCAGCCUUUUCCGGCGACGGCUCCGCCUGGCCCCUACGUGCCCAGCGCGCCGUGGUGGACCGGCGGCCCCAGCGCGCCGUGA
rnacentral:rRNA from 1 species